GUGACCCUAAGAUAUCCGAGUCCAGGGAACUACUCAGAAUUUCAUUGACACCUACCCCUCUGUUCUUCUUCCAUUGAGGAAGUCAAAAGAUCUCCAGUUCCAUUUGUGAGACACCACCAGGCCCUGAUGCCACAGUCCCCUUCUAGCUCGGGGAGUGUCCAGGGUAUGCUGGUGACUAGUAAGGACUGAGAAAGAGACAGACACAGAAACCCCUGGUGCUGAAAAACUCUGAGAAGUGCUGGUAGUAGAGAUGAAGGGAACCAUUACAAGCCAUCUUCAUGUACUGGAUUCUGACAAAUGAGGAUGAUCUGAGAAAGCCAGGCAUAGAGAGGGAAACAGAAGGAUUUUCAGUACUGAUGGUUGGAACUGGACCUCACCAGGUCUCCAUGAGAGAACCAAACAACCUCAGCGUCAUUUCCUGAUCUGAGAACAGCUGUUGUAAUUCUGACAAUAUGGAAAAGUAAACUCCAUUCUGGAAAAUGUUGGGAAGUGAGAGGGAAAUUGAAGGCUGAGAAUCUGAUAUCAAAACACCAAGAACCUGGAGUAGUACAAGGCUGUCAGAUCUUCACUGAGAGUCGGAUGGAGGAGGCUGGGCACUGAGAGUCAGAUGGAGGAAGCUUUGGCACUGCUAAAGUGAAGGAGAGAAUGGGAGACAGGCAGGUGAACGAACACAUUUGACCCACAGUUGGAAGCGGCAACGCGGGCAUUCUUCUAUUGUGACAUCUGCCGCUUUUUAUGACCGACAGACUCCCAAAUCCUACAGUGCCCCCUAGAUCUCCAAAAAGAUGUGGGCACAGUGACAAAAGACUCUACCUGGACUGUGGUAUGAUAACCACUGAGAAACACUGAUCCAUUGCCUUGUUUGCUGCCAGGACUCGGCCUACACUGUGGACAAACAGAUGAAUACCCAGAGAGUUGCAUGUCUCAUAUUGCCUAAGACGAGAUGUGGUGAGAUAAUACAAAUGGAUGGAUAGCAUGAUUCUUCAGUCCUCAUGUGUAAAUAAAUUCUAGUAUAGCUGCGCCCUGAACCAUGGCAGAUGGAUUUUAACUGGAUGUCUGUGAAGAAUCGCCUUUAAACUGAAAACUCAACUCAAGGGGCAAUGGCUCUCAGUUCUGGAGUCAAGGACAAAUCAACAUGUCUCAAGAACUUAGAGGAACUGUGUAAAAUCAGGUUUUGCUCAUAAGGGACUGUCCAAGCACAAGAAUGAGAAU
rnacentral:lncRNA from 1 species